GAACACCUGAGGAGGUUUUAUGUCUUUCCUGUUAAAACCAAGACAUUUCUCACCACAGUGAUGAGACGCUGCAUCAGAGUAAUCCCACAGCGCCCCUCAGUGGCUGCUUAUUGCGAACGCUGAAAGGACUCCUACCAGCAACAAGAGAACAGCGAGUGUCACACUGAGCCCGACGAAGAGCGCCGUCUUCUGUAUGGGCAGGCUGCAGUCAUCGCUC